rnacentral:rRNA from 1 species
UACGUAGGGGGCUAGCGUUGUCCGGAUUUAUUGGGCGUAAAGAGCGUGUAGGCGGCCAGGUAGGUCUGCUGUGAAAACUCGAGGCUCAACCUCGAGACGUCGGCGGAAACCAUCUGGCUAGAGUCCGGAAGAGGAGAGUGGAAUUCCUGGUGUAGCGGUGAAAUGCGCAGAUAUCAGGAGGAACACCGGUGGCGAAGGCGGGUCUCUGGGCCAUAACUGACGCUGAGAAGCGAAAGCAUGGGGAGCGAACAGG